rnacentral:rRNA from 1 species
AUUGAACGCUGGCGGCAGGCUUAACACAUGCAAGUCGAGCGAGCGGCGGACGGGUGAGUAAUGUCUGGGAAACUGCCUGAUGGAGGGGGAUAACUACUGGAAACGGUAGAUAAUACCGCAUACCAUCCCAGGGGCCAGUAUGGGAUUAGCUAGUAGGUGGGGUAAUGGCGCACCUAGGCGAAGAUCCCGAGCUGGUCUAAGAGGAAGACCAGCCAGACUGGAACUGUGUAACGGCCCAGACUCCUACGGGAGGCAGCAGUGGGGAAUAUGGCACAAUGGGCGCAAGCCUGAUGCAGCCAUGCCGCGUGUGUGAAGAAGGCCUUCGGGUUGUAAAGCACUUUUAGCGAGGAGGCGUUACUCGCAGAAUAAGCACCGGCUAACUCCGUGCCAGCAGCCGCGGUAAUAC